rnacentral:rRNA from 1 species
CCUACGGGUGGCAGCAGUGGGGAAUAUUGCACAAUGGGGGAAACCCUGAUGCAGCGACGCCGCGUGAAGGAAGAAGUAUUUCGGUAUGUAAACUUCUAUCAGCAGGGAAGAAAAUGACGGUACCUGACUAAUAAGCCCCGGCUAAUUACGUGCCAGCAGCCGCGGUAAUACGUAGGGGGCAAGCGUUUUCCUGAAUUACUGGGUGUAAAGGGAGCGUAGGCGGUUCAGCAAGUAAGAAGGGAAAGCCCGGGGCUCAACUCCGGGACUGCUUUUGAAACUGUUGAACUAGAUUGCAGGAGAGGUAAGUGGAAUUCCUGGUGUAGCGGUGAAAUGCGUAGAUAUUAGGAAGAACACCAGUGGCGAAGGCGGCUUACUGGCCUGUAAAUGACGCUGAGGCACGAAAGCGUGGGGAGCAAACAGGAUUAGAUACCCCGGUAGUC